ACCUUACCUAGCGGCGGACGGGUGAGUAAUGCUUAGGAAUCUGCCUAUUAGUGGGGGACAACAUUCCGAAAGGAAUGCUAAUACCGCAUACGCCCUACGGGGGAAAGCAGGGGAUCUUCGGACCUUGCGCUAAUAGAUGAGCCUAAGUCAGAUUAGCUAGUUGGUGGGGUAAAGGCCUACCAAGGCGACGAUCUGUAGCGGGUCUGAGAGGAUGAUCCGCCACACUGGGACUGAGACACGGCCCAGACUCCUACGGGAGGCAGCAGUGGGGAAUAUUGGACAAUGGGCGAAAGCCUGAUCCAGCCAUGCCGCGUGUGUGAAGAAGGCCUUUUGGUUGUAAAGCACUUUAAGCGAGGAGGAGGCUACUUGGAUUAAUACUCUAGGAUAGUGGACGUUACUCGCAGAAUAAGCACCGGCUAACUCUGUGCCAGCAGCCGCGGUAAUACAGAGGGUGCGAGCGUUAAUCGGAUUUACUGGGCGUAAAGCGUGCGUAGGCGGCUUUUUAAGUCGGAUGUGAAAUCCCUGAGCUUAACUUAGGAAUUGCAUUCGAUACUGGGAAGCUAGAGUAUGGGAGAGGAUGGUAGAAUUCCAGGUGUAGCGGUGAAAUGCGUAGAGAUCUGGAGGAAUACCGAUGGCGAAGGCAGCCAUCUGGCCUAAUACUGACGCUGAGGUACGAAAGCAUGGGGAGCAAACAGGAUUAGAUACCCUGGUAGUCCAUGCCGUAAACGAUGUCUACUAGCCGUUGGGGCCUUUGAGGCUUUAGUGGCGCACGUAACGCGAUAAGUAGACCGCCUGGGGAGUACGGUCGCAA
rnacentral:rRNA from 1 species